AAAAUCAAAUAAAAAAAUUUAAAAAAAGAAAAAGAACGGGGGAUUACCUGAGAACGGGAGAAACAAACAGUGUGUAGGUUCAACAAAAUGAGGAGAAGUUCUCACUGAUCUCUGCACAUACCAUCAACAACAAACUUAAAUUAAUUCAUUGAUAUAAAAAACAAAGUAACAAAAGAAAUAGCCUGCAUAAUGGAGUAGUACCCUUUCACCCAGCAACACUCACAACACUCACAGUACCCUCUCACUCAAACGUCCCUUAUUAUAACAACUUGUAACAUUGCACUCUUCCAAUAAUAAAUUGACACGUCAUUAUAUACUACACUCUCCACUACUCUAUUGUCUACUAUAAAUUUUACAAAUAAAAUUACUUAACUAACUUCGUCUUAUUUUAAAAAGCAUAAUGUUUUUUAUUUCUUUUUUUAAUAUAUAAAAAACUCAUAUAUAAUUUUAAAUGAUUAUUUGUCAAUAUAUCAUCUCUUAUAUAAAUCAUAUUAUUAUUUUCAUGUUAAUUCUAUAAAUAAAUCAUUUUAAGAAAUCAUUUGUUACUAAUUAUUAAUCUAAUUUAAUUUUAUACAAAUUAUAAAUUAUCAGAGAAUGUUCGCAGUAUAAUUUAGAUUCAUCCAACCAAAAAUAAUAAGAUGUAGAAAAUUGUUUUUUCGUGUAAUAUAUAUACGAAGUUAUUUGCUACUUACGUUAUGUUUAGUAGCAAUGAACUUGAUGAUUAGUAAUGAAUUUGUUUCAUUUUGUGCAUUCUUCUGUGUUUGAGUUUGAUAUAUAUAAAAAAUCAAAUAAAAAAAUUUAAAAAAAAGAAAAAGAACGGGGAUUACCUGAGAACGGGAGAAACAAACAGUGUGUAGGUUCAACAAAAUGAGGAGAAGUUCUCACUGAUCUCUGCACAUACAUCAACAACAAACUUAAAUUAAUUCAUUGAUAUAAAAAAAACAAAGUAACAAAAGAAAAUAGCCUGCAUAAUGGAGGUAGUACCCUUUCACCCAGCAACACUCACACCUCACAGUACCCUCUCACUCAAACGUCCCUUAUUAUAACAACUUGUAACAUUGCACUCUUCCAAUAAUAAAUUGACACGUCAUUAUAUACUACACUCUCCACUACUCUAUUGUCUACUAUAAAAUUUUACAAAUAAAAUUACUUAACUAACUUCGUCUUAUUUUAAAAGCAUAAUGUUUUUAUUUUCUUUUUUUUAAUAUAUAAAAAAUCUCAUAUAUAAUUUAAAUGAUUAUUUGUCAAAUAUUCAUCUCUUAUAUAAAUCAUAUUAUUAUUUCAUGUUAAUUCUAUAAAUAAAUCAUUUUUAAGAAAUCAUUUGUUACUAAUUAUUAAUCUAAUUUAAUUUUAUACAAAUUAUAAAUUAUCAGAGAAGUUCGCAGUAUAAUUUAGAUUCAUCCAAACCAAAAAUAAUAAGAUGUAGAAAAUUGUUUUUCGUGUAUAUAUAUAUACGAAGUUAUUUGCUACUUACGUUAUGUUAGUAGCAAUGAACUUUGAUGAUUAGUAAUGAAUUUGUUUCAUUUUGUGCAUUCUUCUGUGUUUGAGUUUGAUAAUAUAAAAAAUCAAAUAAAAAAAUUUAAAAAAAGAAAAAGAACGGGGAUUACCUGAGAACGGAGAAACAAACAGUGUGUAGGUUAACAAAAUGAGGAGAAGUUCUCACUGAUCUCUGCACAUACCAUCAACAACAAACUAAAUUAUUCAUUGAUAUAAAAAAAAAACAAAGUAACAAAAGAAAAUAGCCGCAUAAUGGAGGUAGUACCCUUCACCCAGCAACACUCACAACACUCACAGUACCCUCUCACUCAAACGUCCCUUAUUAUAACAACUUGUAACAUUGCACUCUUCCAAUAAUAAAUUGACACGUCAUUAUAUACUACACUCUCACUACUCUAUUGUCUACUAUAAAAUUUUACAAAUAAAAUUACUUAACUAACUCGUCUUAUUUUAAAAAGCAUAAUGUUUUUAUUUUCUUUUUUUUAAUAUAUAAAAUCUCAUAUAUAAUUUUAAAUGAUUAUUUGUCAAUAAUCAUCUCUUAUAUAAAUCAUAUUAUUAUUUUCAUGUUAAUUCUAUAAAUAAAUCAUUUUAAGAAAUCAUUUGUUACUAAUUAUUAAUCUAAUUUAAUUUUAUACAAAUAUAAAUAUCAGAGAAUGUUCGCAGUUAAAUUUAGAUUCAUCCAACCAAAAAUAAUAAGAUGUAGAAAAUUGUUUUUUCGUGUAAUAUAUAUACGAAGUUAUUUGCUACUUACGUUAUGUUAGUAGCAAUGAACUUGAUGAUUAGUAAUGAAUUUGUUUCAUUUUGUGCAUUCUUCUGUGUUUGAGUUUUGAAUAUAUAAAAAAAUCAAAUAAAAAAAUUAAAAAAAAGAAAAAGAACGGGGAUUACCUGAGAACGGGAGAAACAAACAGUGUGUAGGUUCAACAAAAUGAGGAGAAGUUCUCACUGAUCUCUGCACAUACCAUCAACAACAAACUAAAUUAAUUCAUUGAUAUAAAAAAACAAAGUAACAAAAGAAAAUAGCCUGCAUAAUGAGGUAGUACCCUUUCACCCAGCAACACUCACAACACUCACAGUACCCUCUCACUCAAACGUCCCUUAUAUAACAACUUGUAACAUUGCACUCUUCCAAUAAUAAAUUGACACGUCAUAUUAUACUACACUCUCCACUACUCUAUUGUCUACUAUAAAAUUUUACAAAUAAAAUUACUUAACUAACUUCGUCUUAUUUUAAAAAGCAUAAUGUUUUUAUUUUCUUUUUUUUAAUAUAUAAAAAUCUCAUAUAUAAUUUAAAUGAUAUUUGUCAAUAUAUUCAUCUCUAUAUAAAUCAUAUUAUUAUUUUUAUGUUAAUUCUAUAAAUAAAUCAUUUUUAAGAAAUCAUUGUUACUAAUAUUAAUCUAAUUUAAUUUUAUACAAAUUAUAAAUUAUCAGAGAAUGUUCGCAGUAUAAUUUAGAUUCAUCCAAACCAAAAAUAAUAAGAUGUAGAAAAUUGUUUUUUCGUGUAUAUAUAUAACGAAGUUAUUUGCUACUUACGUUAUGUUUAGUAGCAAUGAACUUGAUGAUUAGUAAUGAAUUUGUUUCAUUUUGUGCAUUCUUCUGUGUUUGAGUUUUGAUAUAUAUAAAAAUCAAUAAAAAAAUUUAAAAAAAAGAAAAGAACGGGGGAUUACCUGAGAACGGGAGAAACAAAACAGUGUGUAGGUUCAACAAAAUGAGGAGAAGUUCUCACUGAUCUCUGCACAUACCAUCAACAACAAACUUAAAUUAAUUCAUUGAUAUAAAAAAACAAAGUAACAAAAGAAAAAGCCUGCAUAAUGGAGGUAGACCCUUUCACCCAGCAACACUCACACACUCACAGUACCCUCUCACUCAAACGUCCCUUAUUAUAACAACUUGUAACAUUGCACUCUUCCAAUAAUAAAUUGACACGUCAUUAUAUACUACACUCUCCACUACUCUAUUGUCUACUAUAAAAUUUUACAAAUAAAUUACUAACUAACUUCGUCUUAUUUAAAAAGCAUAAUGUUUUUUAUUUCUUUUUUAAUAUAUAAAAAUCUCAUAUAUAAUUAAAUGAUAUUUGUCAUAUAUCAUCUCUAUAUAAAUCAUAUUAUUAUUUUUAUUUUCAUGUUAAUUCUAUAAAUAAAUCAUUUUUAAGAAAUCAUUUGUUACUAAUUAUUAAUCUCAUUUAAUUUUAUACAAAAUUAUAAAUUAUCAGAGAAUGUUCGCAUUAUAAUUUAGAUUCAUCCAAUUCCAAAAAUAAUAAGAUGUAGAAAAUUGUUUUUUCAUAUAUAUAUAUAUAUAUAUGAAGUUAUUUGCUACUUACGUUAUGUUUAGUAGCAAUGAACUUUGAUGAUUAGUAAUGAAUUUGUUUCAUUUUGUGCAUUCUUCUGUGUUUGAGUUUUGAUAUAUAUAAAAAUCAAAGAAAAAAAUUUAAAAAAAAGAAAAAGAACGGGGGAUUACCUGAGAACGGAAGAAACAAACAAUGUGUAGGUUCAACAAAAUGAGGAGAUGUUCUCACUGAUCUCUGCACAUACCAUCAACAACAAACUUAAAUUAAUUCAUUGAUAUAAAAAACAAAGUAACAAAAGAAAAUAGCCUGCAUAAUGGAGGUAGUACCCUUUCACCCAGCAACACUCACAAUACCCUCUCACUCAAACGUCCCUUAUUAUAACAACUUGUAACAUUGCACUCUUCCAAUAAUAAAUUGACAC
rnacentral:lncRNA from 1 species